rnacentral:misc_RNA from 1 species
GAACGCACAUUGCGCCUUCUGGUAUUCCGGGAGGCAUGCCUGUUCGAGCGUCAUUUCAACCAUCAAGCCCUAGGCUUGUGUUGGGGCCCUGCGGCUGUCCGCAGCCCCCUAAAAACAGUGGCGGGCUCGCUAUAUACCGAGUGCAGUAGUUUACUCUUCGCUCAGGACAUGUAGUGGGUUCUUGCCGUAAAACCCCCCAUUUUUUAAGGUUGACCUCGGAUCAGGUAGGAAUACCCGCUGAACUUAAG